ACCGUAGGCGGGCAAUUAAGUCAGAGGUGAAAUCCCAUAGCUCAACUGUGGAACUGCCUUUGAUACUGGUUGUCUUGAGUUACAGUGAAGUAGAUAGAAUAUGUAGUGUAGCGGUGAAAUGCAUAGAUAUUACAUAGAAUACCGAUUGCGAAGGCAGUCUACUAACUGUAUACUGACGCUAAUGGACGAAAGCGUGGGGAGCGAACAGGAUUAGAUACCCUGGUAGUCC
rnacentral:rRNA from 1 species